GAAGUUCCGUAAAGAUAGAUUCAGCAUCUCAGAGAUUUCAAAGGAAGGUCACCUGUUUGUUUGCCAAGGUAGGGGGAAAGUAGGACUGCACAAAGGUUCUACUGAAAAAAAAAUUAUUUAAAUAAAGGUGAAAAAUUACCACCCACUCACUCUGCUUACCUUGUGUCAAGCAGGAAACCAGGUUCAUGGCAGAUGACAAACACCCAGUUUUCUGAGUCAGUAUUCUGUAGUAUUCUUUUAUUUUUAAAUUAAAAUCAUGAAUAGUCAUGAAUGAAGGGACUUGAUUUUAGGCCUUUGAGGGGAGAAAAACAGUCAACCAUAUGUCUGAGUUUUAAAAAUUGUAACAUCAAAGGUUUUGAAGAAAGUUUCAGAGAGAGAAAGAGAGAAAAUAUAGAUAGAAAACAGUUUCCUGAGUAGAUGUGCGUUUUAAUUUUGGCUUCUGGCUCAGUCUCUUAGCAGUUAUAGGAUUAGGAUUUGGGGCAAAUUCUUUCUCUUCGCCCAAGUUUCCUGAAAUGCACCAUGGGGACAAUGAUAAAGGCUCGCUCUGGGUGCAGGAAGAAUGCCUAAUGUGGCUCGGCAUAUAGAAAGGGCUCAAUGCAUAAUCCCGACUAUCAGUGUUCUUGUUGCUGCUAUGGUUACAGUCUCCUCCCCCCAUGUUAACUGUAGACCCUCUGGCCCUCACAUUUUGAGCGUCACCACGCUGCCAGUAAAGGAAAUGGCCUGAAACCCUGUUCUCCGAUAUUGUUCAGGACAUAGUAGCCUGUACUCACUGCCUGUUUACUCAAGCGAAAGGGCUCAGACUGCUUCCUCUAACGGUUGCAGAGAAGGGCUGAAGCUUUGUCAGCUGAGCCUUUGAGAUCUGGCUGGCUGUGAAUGAAUAAUUAAACUCCUGCCAAUGCAAAGGGAUUGGUAGCCGACUUCCCGUGACUGACCAGCCUCUCAUUAGCUCUGCCUGACUGCAGACCCUCCAGCCCUGACAAGUCCUCCAGCAGCUCGUUGGCCUGAGCACCCACUCCUGCCUCUGCUAAGAAAACCAACCACCAGGACUCCCAGAUAGUAUCAAGAAACUGAAACUCACCAGAUCACUGCCUCUGGACCAUGAGAUGUCAGAUCCCUCACCUGUCACGAUUGCCUAACUGACCACCUGCUUCCUGUUGACCAUCUCCUCUUCCCUACCCUCCUUAGUUCUUGUUUUCCCAUACAUUGUUACAUUUCUUCCUUGCUCUAUAAACCUCUAAUUACAGUCAGUUGGGGAGAUGGAUGUGGGACUGAUCUCCCAUCUCCUUGGCUGCAGCACCCAAUUAAACCUUCUUUCCUGGCAAUACUCAUUGUCUCAGUGAUUGGCUUUCUGUGUGGUGAGCAGCAGGACGUAGGCCAAACCCCUGGUAUUUCAGUAACAUUUCCUUCUUGGAACACAGUCCCAUAUUGUAAGGAACCCAACCCACAUGGAGAGGCCAGGUGGAAGAGAGUGGAGGCACUCAGUCUAUGGUCCCAGCUUAGUUCCCAACUAACAGCCAGCAUCAACCACCAGCCAUGUAAGCUCUCCACUGUGGACAUUCAGCUCAGCCAAGGCCCCACCCAGUUGACUAGAGUCCCACCUGACAUCACAUGCAAAAGAGCUACCCAGGUGAGCCAAGUCAGCCUAUACAGUUAGAAAGAAAAUAAAAUGAUUGUUGUUUCUAAGAUGCUAAGUUUUGAGGUGGUUUGUUUUUGUGCAACAUAUGAUUGAAACA
rnacentral:lncRNA from 1 species